rnacentral:rRNA from 1 species
CCGUAGCCCAAGAGAUCGGGAUAACACCUGGAAACAGAUGCUAAUACCGGAUAACAACAGAUGAUGCCUAUCAACUGUUUAAAAGAUGGUUCUGCUAUCACUCUUGGAUGGACCUGCGGUGCAUUAGCUAGUUGGUAGGGUAACGGCCUACCAAGGCGAUGAUGCAUAGCCGAGUUGAGAGACUGAUCGGCCACAUUGGGACUGAGACACGGCCCAAACUCCUACGGGAGGCAGCAGNU